AUUGUCCUGUGAUUCCAGGUUUCCCAGGGAGAGAGGGGACUGAGAAGUUCAGUGGAAUUGUGAAAACAGACUCCCUUCCUGACCCUGCUGCCAGCAUAAGAUCCCCACGCACUCAGGGACCUACACACUAGGCGUUGAUGUGGCAAGGGCCCUCUGUGGGGACUGUUGAAAUUCAGGGAUGUGGGCAUAGAAGUGUCUCCAGAGGAAUGGGAAUGCCUGGACCCUGCUCAGCAGAAUUUGUAUAGGGAUGUGAUGUUUAAGAACUACAGAAACCUGGUUUUUCUGGAUCUCACUGUCUCUAAGGCAAAUCUGAUCACCUGUCUUGAGUAAAGAAAAGAGCCCUGCCAUGUGAGGAGACAGGAGACAGCAGCCAAACCCCCAGGUAGGUGGGAAUGAAUGAGCAGAAAAAGUAAUGCCAGAGGCCCAAAGGUAAGGA
rnacentral:lncRNA from 1 species